GACGAACGCUGGCGGCGUGCUUAACACAUGCAAGUCGAACGGGCCUUGUCCCCUUUUUUUUGGGGGUGGGGUUAGUGGCGAACGGGUGAGUAACACGUGAGUAACCUGCCCCUCACUUCUGGAUAACCGCUUGAAAGGGUGGCUAAUACGGGGUGUUCUGGCCUACUCGCAUGGGUGGGUUUGGAAAGAUUCGACCGGUUUUGGUUGUUUUGGUGGGGGAUGGGCUCGCGGCCUAUCAGCUUGUUGGUGGGGUGAUGGCCUGCCAAGGCUUUGACGGGUAGCCGGCCUGAGAGGGUGGGCGGUCACACUGGGACUGAGACACGGCCCAGACUCCUACGGGAGGCAGCAGUGGGGAAUAUUGCACAAUGGGCGCAAGCCUGAUGCAGCGACGCCGCGUGAGGGAUGGAGGCCUUCGGGUUGUGAACCUCUUUCGCCAGUGAAGAAGGUCCUGCUCUUUGUGGUGGGGUUGACGGUAGCUGGGUUAAUGAAGCGCCGGCUAACUACGUG
rnacentral:rRNA from 1 species